CAGGUAUCCCAACACACUGCUGUCUGAUACAUUGUGACACCUCUGAUCUCACAUCAUGAAGGAAACCUGAUGAGUACACGAAGAGACAGAGAGACACCGAGUGUAACUCAAACUGUGUUGGCGUAGCUGCGGAAGAGAGGCUGGUUAACCAGACGAGCCUGGAAGUGGGUCAGAGGGAUGAUGAGACAUCAGAAUCCAGACCUCAACCCCAUUGAGAAUCUUUGAGAUGUGCUGAAGGCUUUUAGUGGGCAGGCUCUCCCAUCGCCAAUACAAGAUGUAUCACACUGGAUGGAAAUAAAUCUUGUGACACCGCAGAAGCUUAUCGAAACAAUGCCACAGUGGGUGCGCGCCGUAAUCAAAGCUAAAGGCGGUCCAACGAAAUAUUGAUUGUGUGAUUUAUUUUUUUGGCUACGCAGUGUAUUUGAUCUCAAUGGGCCAACCCGGUUAAAUAAAGACAUACGUAAAAAAUGAUUAAUAAAAUAACGGAUGAAUGGAUGAUAAUA